rnacentral:rRNA from 1 species
GAUGAACGCUGGCGGCGUGCCUAAUACAUGCAAGUCGAGCGAACAGACGAGGAGCUUGCUCCUCUGACGUUAGCGGCGGACGGGUGAGUAACACGUGGAUAGCCUACCUAUAAGACUGGGAUAACUUCGGGAAACCGGAGCUAAUACCGGAUAAUAUAUUGAACCGCAUGGUUCAAUAGUGAAAGACGGUUUUGCUGUCACUUAUAGAUGUAUCCGCGCCGUAUUAGCUAGUUGGUAAGGUAACGGCUUACCAAGGCAACGAUGCGUAGCCGACCUGAGAGGGUGAUCGGCCACACUGGAACUGAGACACGGUCCAGACUCCUACGGGAGGCAGCAGUAGGGAAUCUUCCGCAAAGGGCGAAAGCCUGACGGAGCAACGCCGCGUGAGUGAUGAAGGUCUUCGGAUCGUAAAACUCUGUUAUUAGGGAAGAACAAAUGUGUAAGUAACUAUGCACGUCUUGACGGUACCUAAUCAGAAAGCCACGGCUAACUACGUG